rnacentral:misc_RNA from 1 species
CGCAUCUUGCGCCUGGUGGUAUUCCGCCAGGUAUGCCUGUCUGAGUGUCCCAUUCUUCUCAAAAAAAAGGAUUUGCUUUCGAGCUCGUCCAUUUUUUGGAUCAUGGAUUCGGUUGGAGCCUUGCGCCCAAACCAAUCUUAAACAAAGUCGGUCUUUUGAUUUCGGCAACGGCUUGACCGAGUGUUGUAUCAUCCUCACUUGGGACGUUGUGAAUUCGUUGGCCACGAACCACCAAAAACUUUACGUUUUAGACCUCAGAUCAGGUAGGAUUACCCGCUGAACUUAA